CCCAGACUCCUACGGGAGGCAGCAGUGGGGGAUAUUGCACAAUGGGGGGAACCCUGAUGCAGCGACGCCGCGUGGGUGAAGGAGCGUUUCGGCGCGUAAAGCCCUCUCGGCAGGGAAGAAGGAGGACGGUACCUGACUAAGAAGCCCCGGCUAACUACGUGCCAGCAGCCGCGGUAAUACGUAGGGGGCAAGCGUUAUCCGGAUUUACUGGGUGUAAAGGGGGCGCAGACGGCAGCGCAAGCCAGGAGUGAAAGCCCGGGGCCCAACCCCGGGACUGCUCUUGGAACUGCGCGGCUGGAGUGCAGGAGGGGCAGGCGGAAUUCCUGGUGUAGCGGUGAAAUGCGUAGAUAUCGGGAGGAACACCGGUGGCGAAGGCGGCCUGCUGGACUGCGACUGACGUUGAGGCCCGAAAGCGUGGGGAGCAAACAGGAUUAGAUACCCCAGUA
rnacentral:rRNA from 1 species